rnacentral:rRNA from 1 species
GGGGCUAGCGUUGUUCGGAAUUACUGGGCGUAAAGCGCACGUAGGCGGAUAUUUAAGUCAGGGGUGAAAUCCCAGAGCUCAACUCUGGAACUGCCUUUGAUACUGGGUAUCUCGAGUAUGGAAGAGGUGAGUGGAAUUCCGAGUGUAGAGGUGAAAUUCGUAGAUAUUCGGAGGAACACCAGUGGCGAAGGCGGCUCACUGGUCCAUUACUGACGCUGAGGUGCGAAAGCGUGGGGAGCAAACAGG